GCUUGUCUCAAAGAUUAAGCCAUGCAUGUCUCAGUAUAAGCUUGUGCAUAGUGAAACUGCGAACGGCUCAUUAUAACAGUUAUAAUUUGUUUGGUGUUCAAGUUUACAUGGGUAACUGUGGCAAUUCUAGAGCUAAUACAUGCGCCCAGACCCAACUUUUAGGAAGGGUUGUAUUUAUUAGGUACAGAACCAAUGCAAGCUCCGCUUGACCUUUUGGUGAUUCAUGGUAACCGAACGAAUCGCACGGCACCAGCUGGCGAUGGACCAUUUCAGUUUCUGACCUAUCAGCUUCCGACGGUAGGAUAUGGGCCUACCGUGGCAAUGACGGGUAACGGAGAAUUAGGGUUCGAUUCCGGAGAGGGAGCCUGAGAAACGGCUACCACAUCUAAGGAAGGCAGCAGG
rnacentral:rRNA from 1 species